UACGGAGGAUCCAAGCGUUAUCCGGAUUUAUUGGGUUUAAAGGGUGCGUAGGCGGAUUGAUAAGUUAGAGGUGAAAUGUCCGAGCUCAACUCGGGAACUGCCUCUAAUACUGUUGAUCUAGAGAGUAGAUGCGGUAGGCGGAAUGUAUGGUGUAGCGGUGAAAUGCUUAGAGAUCAUACAGAACACCGAUUGCGAAGGCAGCAUACCAAUCUAUAUCUGACGUUGAGGCACGAAAGCGUGGGGAGCAAACAGG
rnacentral:rRNA from 1 species